rnacentral:rRNA from 1 species
UACGGAGGAUCCGAGCGUUAUCCGGAUUUAUUGGGUUUAAAGGGUGCGCAGGCGGGAGAUUAAGUCGGCGGUGAAAUUUUGCAGCUUAACUGUAAAAGUGCCUUCGAAACUGGUUUCCUUGAGUGUAGAUGAAGUAGGCGGAAUUUGUGGUGUAGCGGUGAAAUGCAUAGAUAUCACGAGGAACUCCGAUUGCGCAGGCAGCUUACUAAACCACUACUGACGCUCAUGCACGAAGGCGUGGGGAUCAAACAGGAUUAGAUACCCUGGUA